GCUCCUAUGUUUCAGGUGUUGUAGCACAGUGGAGAUGAGGAAGCUCCAUUUCUUCUCACAUAAUGAAGUCUACAACCUUCCAUUCUCCAUGUGGGAACUGGAACCAGCUCUGUCAGCAACCAGAGACACUGCUCCAGGACCUGAUGAGAUUCAGUAUGCCAUGCUCUGUCAUCUGUGCCCUGAAGUGAAAGGACAGCGCCUCUCAUUUCAAUCAGAUCUGGUUGAGGACAAUACCCCACUACCUGAAAGGAGGCAAUAUUAAUUUCAUUAUGGAAAUCACGCAAGGGCCUUAGCACCCCUAACAGUUACCGGAGUGAAGCCAUUACCACUUGUAUGGAUAAGACUCUUGAACGCACGGUCAACCACUGCCUCGUCUGGCUGCUAGGAUUCUGAGGUUACGUGAGCCACUCCCAGUGUGGUUUCAGACACUACCAUUCCACCCACGGGAGUGCAAAUGCGACCUCCCACUCCUUUAUCUGCCAUGAUGAAUCUCGAGCUGUGACGUCACCUGGCAGCUACUGCAGUGUGUUUACAACGGUGUCGCUCAGUGUUUCUAUCGAAGGCGUGUAUGUGAGUUCGUGUUACACGUUAGUUUGUAUGUAAUUCUAUAAAUACGUCGUAUUGUGCAGUUGCUGAAUGUCGUAAUAGUGGACGUAAGACUGAAGGCGUAAUUUAUCAUCGUUUUCCAAAAAAUGUUGAACUACAGCGUAAGUGGAUUGUUCGUUGUAAACGAGAGGACAAUAUUAAUGUUAAUAAUGCAAGAGUUUGUUCUGAACAUUUUUGUGAAAGCGAUUACAAACGAGACUUGCAGAAUGAAUUGUUAGGUCUACCUACACGGAAACUGCUACAAGAUAAUGCUGUUCCGUCUCUAAAAAUACCAAACUGGCAUGGAAAUGUAUUCAAAGUUCCAGGUCCCAGGACCGCGAAUGUUACCAGUAGUGUUCUAACAGAGAGAGAACGUCGCUGUGACACUAGAACAGUAAAAAAAGAGCUCUCUCAACGUUGAAAACUUUAUCUCCCAAGAAAAGUAAGCUGGACAAAUCCAGCAACACAGACGUUUUUACUGAUCUGCUAAUUUCACUUAAAGACCAGGAAAUUCAAGCACUGAAGAAAGAAUUGGUUAGUUUGAAGAUUAAAAAUGUUUGACUGGAACAAAGAAUUAAGUCCAUGAAAGAAGUUAUAAAGCAAGCUACAUCUAUAAAACAUAAUGUGUCUCACACUAAGAAGCACAAAUGUGUAUGCUCGGAUGUAAGAAGUACACUUUCUCAGUGUUUCACACCAGGACAAAUUCGUUGUCUGUUAAAGAAGAGGAAGCAAGUAAAGUGGUGCUCAGAGGACAUUGCAAAUGCUCUCACAUUGAGAGCUUUGUCUCCUAAAGCAUAUGCCUACCUGAGGAGGAAGAAUUAUCCUUUUCCCUGCAGGCCAACACUCCAGACAUGGACGAAACAGUUCAAGUGCCAACCAGGUAUUUUGAAACCAGUUUUGGAGAUAAUUAAAGGUAGGUCAGAAAUGUUCACAUCAUUAGAGGCGAUUGGUGUCCUAAGCUUCGACGAGAUGAGCAUUGACGGUCGUGUGACUUACGAUUCGUCCGACGAUGUAGUACUUGGACCACACAACAAUGUCCAAGUCGUCAUGGUUCGCAGCUUGUUUUCAAAAUGGAAGCAGCCAGUGUAUUAUGACUUUGAUGUUGCAAUGUCUAGUGAUUUGUUGCAGAAUGUCAUAAAAGAAGUUGAAACAGCAGGAAUCCGUAUCGUAGCUGUUACGUGUGACAUGGGACCAAAAAAUAUGUACGUGUGGAAGCAACUUGGUGUGUCUACAUCCAAGUCAUUCUUUUCAAAUCCUGUUGAUCAUAGCAGAAAAGUCUGGGUUAUUUUUGAUGUUCCACAUUUGCUUAAGUUAUUAAGAAAUCAUUUUCUUGAUGACGGAAUCACUUUGCCUGAUGGUACUGUGAUUACAAAAAUGGUUAUAGAAGAUUUUCUUCGACAUCAGAAAGGCGAUCUUUCGAUCAAUCACCACAUAUCGGAGGUUCAUCUUAAUGUUAGUGGACGUGAUCGUCAGAAUGUCCAAAGGGCUGCACAGAUAUUUUCACGUCGCACUGCCCAAGCUGUGAGAUAUGUUCUGCAUGAAGAUCGCGAAGGAAGCUUCAUUGAGCUCGUGAACGAUGUUUUCGAAGUGCUGAAUUCGAGAUACCCUCAAGAUGAAAAAGCUCCCCUUAGAAGUGAUUACGGGUUUAAUAUCAGAAGUCAGGAAAACUCUCUAAAAAGAUUUCUUGAAAUGUGUUCUAAUAUGCGAGUAGGAAAAAGAAACAGUCUUCUCCCGUUUCAGAAGGGAUUCAUUAUAUCAAUAAAUUCACUUUUUGGACUUUACAAUGAUAUGAAAAAUUCCGGAGCUACUUACAUGUUGACAGCCAGACUUAAUCAAGAUUGUCUGGAAAAUUUCUUUUCCAGAAUCCGUGGCCUUGGUGUCUUCUACAACAAUCCCACUCCUUUCGAGGUAAAAAACAGAAUUCGUUUAUACUGACUGGAAAUGCAAGUGAAACACCUUUGUCUUCUGGUGCUUCAACUUCAGAGGACAGAAAUGAGAAUUCUGCUUCUGAAAACUACCUGACACCAGCAGAUGAAACUGAGGAAGAUUUUGCACGUUUUCUCUCGAGUGAAUUAUGUAUAAGAGUAACUGAUAAAUCAUUUGACGUCGCCACAGAUGACGAAAACUUGCUCUUAGAUUUCGAGCUCAGUGAUUCAGUGUGUACCAGUGAAGACAUGAAUGAUGAUGCUUUAAAAUAUCUAGCAGGAUAUAUAGCAUUCAAGUGCAAAAACGUUGACAGUUCUUUGGGAAAUACAGCAGGGCAGUGUGUUGUUGAUACAGAAUUAAGUCUGAAGCAAGACUGGAUUACUAUUAUUUCAAAAGGGGGCAUCAUUUCUCCCUCUACUGACUGGUUUGCUAAAAUACAUGAGUUUGAAAUUAUAUUUGCUGCUUUUCAUGGAUCAAAUAUUUCUCAUUGUAAUAGAGUGAUGGCAACCUUAGCAGAUCAUGUAAGUGCGAAAUUUCCCAAACUUAAUAGCAAAAUAGUUCAGUUAUACGUCAGAAUAAGAACUUUUAUACGGACUAGACAUUUAAUCAAAAGAGCCAAAAUUGAUGCAAUGAAACGGAAUUCGGCAAGGAAGAAUCGGCUCUGGUCAGCGUUGCCUUCAGCAUCUUCGACAUAGCUUCUACAUCAGCUUUGUAAGUGUGGCCUUUUUCCCAAUACACAUGGGUGAUCAUGUGUUUGUUGGUGAACGCUCAGUGGUAAAUGCAGCAAAUGUUGGUUCAUAUGUUUACAUCGGCAAAAACUGUGUUAUUG